rnacentral:ncRNA from 1 species
UGUCUUCAGGGCAGGGUGAAAAUCCCGAUCGGCGGUAAAGUCCGCGAGCCGUUUUGGCCGACCCGGUGGAACUCCGGGACCGACAGUGACGCACGGUGUGCGAAGUCUGGAUGGAAGAAGACG